AGAUUCCAUACACUUUGGCAGGAGAAAAUUAGUGGAAAGUGAAUGAGACAAGAGGCAUUUGGAAAAUAUAUGGGAUUGCUCCUCUAAACCAGCUUAAUGCAAGAUCCACAGUCCUAAAGAGGUUGUCUGAUGCAGAUUAAUACAGAUUUCUGUGGCUGGGUAAUAUGUUGUAGUACUUGGCAGCCACCAUCAUGUCCUCACUCUGUGAUCAGUGCAAAGAGUAAUUCCAGAAGAGACAUGUGCAGGAUAUCAUAAUUCAAUUCCAACUAACAGUACUUCUUGAGAGUUAUGGUUGAUUCAUACUUAUAAGAGAACUGCCACGCGUAGCAUCAGUAGUAAGUUAUCCUUAAUUUAUUUCAGCACCAAGUCGUAUUCCACUCCUCAGAAGAUGAAAGAAACUCACUCCAGAUUGAAGGCAUGGCAGGGAAAAUCACUGAAGUCGAACUUUCCCUUUCCCAAGAGCAACAGCUGUUUUUUUAAAUAAUGUGCCUGUUUUGUUUUCUUUUCAGUUGCCUUCUAAAAGGGGCCUAUACAUCUCAAAGCUAAUUUCAGGCUGAUUGCAACAUUGUUUAAAGGCCUGCAUCUGUCCAAAGCAGCCUGACUAGAUUUAUUUUGUUUGUUCAGGCUCUCUAUUUUAAUGCCAAUUGGAUAUAGACCAUUAAAGCUGCAAGUUGCCAUACCUGUCUCAAAUGAACUGUACAGGUACAACCUCACUCCAUUGUGACCUUUCAGCUGUUAAAUUACAGUUCACUAGCACUGGGUGAUGGAUGUGUUUUUGUACUCACCCAAAGUUGGGCACACAAGAGUAAACAAAAGACACUAUCAGCCUCAAGAUAACACAAAGGCAGCAAAAUCAACAUUGAGCGCACAAUGUGAACAAAAAAUCCGACCAGGACAAAAGAACAGCAACUUUUCAGUGCAAGCCAGUGCUGACAUCUGUAUAACGAUGAAUGUGAGAAUCCGAAAUUAGCAUUUUAUUGAAAUUAUUACCCCCAUGAGGUGGAAAGAAGGGAUUGCUGUGAUGUGAUUCACAUGACAAUACUAUACCCAGUACUAAAGUGAUAUGGGAUCAGACACAUUCUUACUCAUAAAUAGCAGUUGUUGCACUGUUUGGGUUCAACUGGGGGAAGCUGAAUGCUCCUAAGAGAAAUUGUUCCUGCAGGAGUGCAACCUAAAUUGUGGGUAUCAAUGGGAAUACCCACAUCUAUUUGCCCUUAAACUGCGAGGGCAAAUUACAAUCAAACACAUUAAUGAUUCUGGAGUCACAUACAGGCCAAACUUGGCAGACGUUUGUCACUGAAGGUAACCUGAAAACCAAAGGAAUUUCAAGAUAUGAAAGUCAGUAUCUGCAGAUGCCAGAAGUCUGAAAAAAAAACAGGAAAUGCUAGAAACACAUAGCAGGUCAGGCAGUAUCUUUAGAAAGAAAAACAGAAUUAAUGUUUCAGGUUGAAGGAUCUUUUUCAGAACUAGACAAGAGGAAAAAAAAACAACACACACAAAAUUCUGAAAGAACUCAGUGAGUCAAGCAGCAUCAAUAGAAGGAAAUAAAUUGCCAACAUUUCACACUGAGACCCUUCAUCAGGACAGAAAAAGCAAGUUAGUUUUAAGCUACAGAAAGAGACUGACAGAGGUUGGUAGGACAAAGGGAAUGCCUUAUGUAAAGAUAUUGAAUUUCUGUUGGCUCACAGAGUAACUCCAAUUAUCCAGCUGCUUCAGUCCUUCCUCCAGAAUUAAAGAACUGCUUCUUCCCUACUGCUGUCAGAACCUUGAAUAAUUCAGCUCUUUCACACCCCCUUCCUGAUAGAGCUGCCGUGUUCUUGUACUCUUAACUCUACCUAUUUCAGUUAUUCUGCUAUUGUCACUUCAGGAGACUUUUUUUUUCGCACUACUUCAAUUUGCACGAUAGCCUUUGCAUAAUUCUGCUGUUGUCUUUUGUAUUUACUAUUGUAUUUAUUAUUACUAUGUAUACUGUUCACUCUGUGAGCCUCAUGCAAAUGAGAAAUUUUGUUGCAUACUGGUGUAUAUGACA